AGAGUUUGAUCAUGGCUCAGGAUGAACGCUAGCUACAGGCUUAACACAUGCAAGUCGAGGGGCAGCAUCAUCAAAGCUUGCUUUGAUGGAUGGCGACCGGCGCACGGGUGAGUAACACGUAUCCAACCUGCCGACAACACUGGGAUAGCCUUUCGAAAGAAAGAUUAAUACCGGAUGGCAUAAUUAUUCCGCAUGGGAUAAUUAUUAAAGAAUUUCGGUUGUCGAUGGGGAUGCGUUCCAUUAGGCAGUUGGCGGGGUAACGGCCCACCAAACCUACGAUGGAUAGGGGUUCUGAGAGGAAGGUCCCCCACAUUGGAACUGAGACACGGUCCAAACUCCUACGGGAGGCAGCAGUGAGGAAUAUUGGUCAAUGGACGAGAGUCUGGACCAGCCAAGUAGCGUGAAGGAUGACUGCCCUAUGGGUUGUAAACUUCUUUUAUACGGGAAUAAAGUGAGCCACGUGUGGCUUUUUGUAUGUACCGUAUGAAUAAGGAUCGGCUAACUCCGUGCCAGCAGCCGCGGUAAUACGGAGGAUCCGAGCGUUAUCCGGAUUUAUUGGG
rnacentral:rRNA from 1 species